CCUACGGGGGGCUGCAGUGGGGAAUAUUGCACAAUGGGGGAAACCCUGAUGCAGCGACGCCGCGUGAGUGAAGAAGUAAUUCGUUACGUAAAGCUCUAUCAGCAGGGAAGAAAUACUGACCUUACGGUCAGCAGACGGUACCUGAGUAAGAAGCCCCGGCUAACUACGUGCCAGCAGCCGCCGUAUUACGUAGGGGUCAAGCGUUAUCCGGAUUUACUGGGUGGAAAGGGAGCGUAGACGGUGGGCCAAGACUGGAGUGAAAUGCCGCAGCUUAACUGCGGAACGGCUUUGGAAGCUGGCGAACUAGAGGGCGGGAGGGGUAAGAGGAGUUCCUAGUGUAGCGGUG
rnacentral:rRNA from 1 species